GAAUAUGUGGUGUAGCGGUGMAAUGCAUAGMUAUCACMUAGAAYACCAAUUGCGAAGGCAGAUCACUAACUAUAUACUGACGCUGAUGGACGAAAGCGUGGGGAGCGAACGGGAUUAGAUACCCCGGUAGUCCACGCCGUAAACGAUGRAUACUAGCUGUUGGAUNUNUNCAGUGGCUAAGCGAAAGUGAUAAGUAUCCCACCUGG
rnacentral:rRNA from 1 species